GAUACAUGCAUACAUAUAAACAUAUAUAUAUAUAUAUUAAUAAUAAUAUACGGGUAAAUAAUUAUUAAUUUCAAAAAUUAAUAAUUAUUACCGAGUAGAUCGGUAUGGAAAUAGAAACAUUAUCGGUAGGAACUUUUACAAAAUGUUCUUCAUAUAUAUAUAUAAUUAAGGUUAAGCAACAAGUUGUUUAGCCAUAUACCGAAAAAUUUAGAAAUGGCAGUCAAAUUGUGAAUUGUGACUAUGUAUGUAUGUAUGUAUGUAUGUAUGUAUGUAUGUAUGUAUGUAUGUAUGUAUGUAUGUCUCUUCUAUUUUUUUAAUUCUUCUAAAUCUUCCACUGAGGAGGGAGCCAGUUUCCAACAAAGAUACAAGGAUCCAUCUUUGGGAUGUAGUUAGCAUAGACAAAUUCACAUUUGGAACUUGAGAAAAGUCAUGUAUAUUUUCACUGUUCCACUGACUGAUUGCACUUGUAAUGAACGAAUCAGUCGAUCAAUAUCUCUUUCUGAAAAUCCCAGUUUAUCCAGAUUCUGCUUUUAGCAUUUUCUUACAAAUCCUAGUGCUCCAAUUACAAUUGGCAUGAAUAUAGACAAUCUCAAAGAUUACGGAGGUAAUUUUAAUUCAUAAUCCAGUGAAGCGAACCCGGAUCUACCAAUCAGAAGAAUUACAGUGGGAUUACUCACCCAAAAGCGAUCCUUGAUGCUUCAUAGCCGGAACCUGGACGAUUUAUGAGAGCUCUUACGGCACCCGGCUGGAUAAUUUAUCCCUAUAUAAUCAUUGUGUACACACACAGACACACAGCCACAAACAAAAAAUGGAAAGAGAGAGAAAUGGGGGAGAGAGGAGAGUGACAGAGGGAUACGUUAUGUGGUUACGUGUACAAUGUACUAAAACAAGACACAACUCAUUUCAGCAGCUGUUUUACGCCUUAGCAAAGCUCACCCUAUCGCUAAGACAAUCGCUCGGUUUCCCAGUCAGCGUAUCACAGCGUAUGACAGCGCACGUCUAACAGCGAUAGCGCUGCACCAAAUAUAUUGCGUGGAUUUCAGCGACGUAACGUGACUUUCUGUUUGUUCUUCAUUACAUAUUAUUAAUUGUGUUAGAUUGGAUAUCAGUCUUCUGUUUUAAUUUGCUGAGAUAAUUAAAAUGAAAUAUCUUUCAAGCCAUUUUCAAUUUAUCAAUUUAUUAAUGACGGGAGAAUUAUAUGGUCGCAAACACUCACAUACACACACACAAACACACACAAACACACACACAUGGGCGUGCGUGAGAAUAUAUACAUAUGUAUGUGUCUAUGUGCAUAUAUAUACAUAUGUGUGUAUACAUAUAUAUUUAUAUGUAUAUGUAUACAGAUACACACACACACAUAUAUAUAUAUGUGUGUGUGUGUGUGUGUGUGGCUGUGUGAUAAGAAGCUUGCUUCCCAUAUAUAUAUAUAUAUGUGUGUGUGUGUGUGUAUGUUUGACCAAAAGUCAACUGACAGUAAAUCAAAACCAUUUAGUUCCAAGAUUUAUUCAUGUUUAACAACUGAAUGAAUAUAAUAAAAGCAUCUAAAUAUGAAACAUCAUGAACAUUGUUCAAACUGAAGUCCUUCUUGACCGACACAUUUUCCCAUUCGAGUCAAUAUAGUAUUUAUGGAAUCUUGAUUUACUGUCGCAUAUAUAAAUAUAUAUAUAUAUAUAUAUAUAUAUAUAUAUAUAUAUAUAUAUAUGACAUUAUAUAUAGCAUACCUAUUUCUUUAUUACCCACAAGGGGCUAAACAUAGAAGGGACAAACAAGGACAGACAUAGGUAUUAAGUCGAUUACAUCGACCCCAGUGCGUAACUGGUACUUAAUUUAUCGACCCCAAAAGGAUGAAAGGUAAAGUCGACCUCGGUGGAAUUUGAACUCACAACGUAACGGCAGAGGAAAUACCGCUAAGCAUUUCGCCCGACGUGCUAACGUUUCUACCAGCUCUCCGCCUUUAUAUAUAGCAUACCGGGAAUAAUGGCAUACUGCUCGAGCGCUUUGCAGUAGAGCGCAAAUGAUCACCGAAAUAUUAUCUAAAAAUGAUAUAAUCAUCGACACCGUUUUUAAAAAUUCUAUAACUGUUUCUUAUGAUGCAUAAGAGUGUUAAUAUUUGGCUUCUGUUUCUUAAUCAUUCUCUCUUAUCGUGAAACCUUAAAUAAGACUGAAACGCUGCCAACAAUGGAAGAUUUCUUAGCAAUAAAGAACAAGCAUAAAUCCAUUACACGUAAAAUAAAUCUUGAACUCCACCAUGACUUAACUAUUGUGUUGAUAAUUUAAAAAAAAGUCCAGGAAUGCUGAACCCCAGUAUCAAUAUAAGCGUUACUGACACAAUACAGAGGCGUCGAACAGAUACCGCAAGACUUUGCAGUUAAUACCUCACCUUAACUAUUCCACUAUUCAAGCUGCACCACACUGAAUUACAGGUACGUUAUAUACCAACCGCGAAAGAAUGGACAACACAGAUCAGAAAGACUGGCAGAGACAUUCUAUUUGUGCGCUAGCUAACUACGUAGAUAGAUAGAUGUUUGAUAGAUAGAUAGAUAGAUAGAUAGAUAGAUAGAUAGAUAGAUAGAUAGAUAGAUAGAUAGAUAGAUAGAUAGAUAGAUAGAUAGAUAGAUCGAAAUCAGCAGAGGUAUGAUCUAUUCUCCGAACUCCGAUUGAAUAAUUGCGGAUAUAUUUGCACGAAACCCAUGGUAUCAGCCAGUUGAUUUUCUAUUAAAACAGAAUAUUUAUCCACCCAUGUGGUGCUCAGAAGUCAUUGUUCCAGUUCAGCUUUCACUUUUACAUGCUCUCACACCCACAGCCACACACGUCACACAAGCACACACACGUCACACAAGCACACACAUGUCCUCGCACAUAUACAUAUGUAAUUAUAUACAGACACACACAUACACGUUCCUUGAUUUAUAUAUAUAUAUAUAUAUAUAUAUAUAUAUAUAUAUAUAUAUAUAUAUAUAUAUACACAUAUAUAUAUAUACAUAUAUGUAUGUGUGUGUAUGUGUGUGUAUGUUUGUAUAUAUGUAUACGUGCCUUUCAUUAUUUCUGCCAUACUCUCUCUCCCUCCCCCAUCAUUCCCACUGCAAUAAAAUGUUUCUAAUCAAUUCCUGAAUACUUCGAUCAACAUACACAUAUCCAUAUACAAAAUGGAAUUAAAAAACACGCAUUCAACGUAUACACGCACACUCAAACAGGCAAACGAGCACGAACACAGAAACUGUAGUUUGCAUUACAUACAUACAUACAUACAUACAUACAUACAUACAUACAUACAUACACGCAUACAUACAUCUCUCUCUCUCUCUAUAUAUAUAUAUAUGUAUGUGUGUAUGUGUAUAUGUGUGUGUGUAUACGCAUAAAUACAUGAAUACACACACACACGUAUUUGAGUGUGUAUGUACUUAUACAUAUAUAUGCGUGUGUGUGUGUGUGUGUGUGUGUGUGUGUGCUAAUUAUAUUAUUCAUACAUGUAUAUAUAUUCAUAUAUAUCUAUUUACGUAUCAACUUAUCUAUCAAUAUAUACAUAUAUAUAUAUACGUGUAUAUAUACGUGUGUGUGCAUAUAUAUAUCACAUUUGUAAAUGCAAAUGCACACGUCCAAGAAAAUUAAAAUGCAUAUACACAUACAUACAUAAACAUACACACAUAUGCAUACAUACAUAUAUACAUACAUAUAUACAUACAUAUAUACAUACGUAUGUAUAUACAUGAAUUAAUAAACAUGUGUAGUUAUAUUUAUACAUACAUGCAAAUGUACAUGCAUGCAACACACCCUUAUAUAUACAAACACAUAAAUACGUACUUAAACAUAUAUAGAUGCAUAUAUGCAAAUAUAUGGAGGGUCUCUAACCCUAGAAACGCUGUGUGCUAAGGCAUUCACAUGCAUCAGUGAAUUAUUCCUAUGAAUCUCUCGAUACACAAAUGCCAACAUAGAAUUCCACACAUGUAUACAUGUAGAAGUAUUAAAGCAGUACCCCAUUCAUGUAGCACAGUUGCACGUGUGUGUGCCUGCAUGAAUAUGCAUAUAAACGCGUUGGCGCACAUCAAAACACCCGUAUGAACGCACAACCGCAUGGACACGAACACACAGACACACGCGGAAGCGCAUACAAUCACACACACAUAGAUACACACAUACAGACAAGUGCUCUUGUACACACAUUACAAUAGAUACGUCUCGAAAGAACAGAAUGCUCACGUGAUGCUUAGAACCAUGCAGCGAUGGGGGGGGGAUUAAUGAGAAAAUAAGAAAGGAAAAAGAACUUUUUGUUGGAGUGAAACGGGUGGGAGCGGGAGAGAGAGAGAGAGACAGACAGACAGAAAGAGAAGAGGGGUGAGGAAAGAGAGAAAACGGUGUGGAGAGGAAAAGAGGAAUUGACGAAGGGAAAAAGACAAAAUGAGAAGAUAAAAAAUAAGGAGAGAGAGAUGAAGACAGGGAGAAGAUAAGGAAAGGAAAAAUGGAAAGAAUUAAAGAAAAGGAAAGGGAGAAACAGAGAAAGAAGACUGAAAAAAAUAAUAAAGAAAGAGAGAAGAGAGAGAGAAAAAGAAAGAGAGAGAGAGAGAGAGAGAGAGAGGAGGUAAAGUGAAGCGGGUGACAUUAUUGAACAUAGCCUAUACUUCAAAGUCUUUGAGACGCCCACACAAUUCCGUUGACCGAACACGCGGUACGUUCUUUUAUUCUUCCAAUCGUACCAUUCUACACACACACAGACACACAAACACAUACACACACACACACACACACACACACACACACACACACACACACACACACACACACACACACACAGAGGCGCGCAUUUACACAUAUAUACACACACUCAGCCACGUACACACUCCCAUACAACACGUUUCAAUGUCUUUUCCUUGCCAAAAUAUAUUUGAUCGUAUCAAUCCAGCCAUGUUGCCCUGUCUUUCCCAGCGACGUAAUAUCGAUCCAAUUCAGCCAUCUUUAAAUACUGUUCGAUUUAUAUACAUAUAUAUAUAUAUAUAUAUAUAUAUAUAUAUGUAUAUAUAUAUAUACAAAUACAUACACACAUAUAUGCAUCCGUAGAUACAUGCACACAUAUAAACAUAAUACAUAUAUAUGUAAAUAUAUAUACGUAUAUAUAUGCAUAGAUAUACAUAUGAUUAUAUAUAUGUACACAUUUAUAUAUAUAUAUAUAUAUAUAUAUAUAUAUAUAUAUAUAUAUAUGUAUAUAUAUAUAUACAAAUACAUACACACAUAUAUGCAUCCGUACAUACAUGCACACAUAUAAACAUAAUACAUAUAUAUAUAAAUAUAUAUACGUAUAUAUAUGCAUAGAUAUACAUAUGAUUAUAUAUAUGUACACAUUUAUAUAUAUAUAUAUAUAUAUAUAUAUAUAUACAUAUAUAUAUACAUACAAUAUAUAUAUAUAUAUAUAUAUAUAUAUAUAUAUAAUAUACAUAUAUAUAUACAUACACACAUUUACAUUUAUGUUUAUGUAUAUAUAUCUAUGUGUGUUUGUGUGUAUGUAUGUGUAUAUACAUACAUAUAUAUAUAUACAUACACAUAUAUAUAUAGGUGUGUGUGUGUGUGUGUGUAUGUAUAUAUAUAUGUAUGUAUGUGAGAGAGGGGGAGGGAGGGGGAGACAUGAUAGAAAUCAAAAACAAAACAAUUUCCAGUGUUACUGUCUUUACUGUUUUGGUAAUUGUUGUGGUUGUUGCUGUCGUUGUCACUGAUGACUUUGUUGUUGCCGUUACUACUAGUACUACUAAUGCUACUACUACUAGUAGUACUGCUACUGCUGCUGCUGCCACUACUACUUCUACUAUCAUAACUGCUCUUGUAUAAAUUGCAGCUGAAAAAUAAGACUUCCUGUCAUAUUCUACUACCACUACUACUACUACUACUACUACUACUACUACUACCACCACCACCACCACUACUGCUACUGCUACUACUACUACUACUAUUACUACUACUACUACUACUACUACUACUACCACCACCACCACUACUACUGCUGCUGCCAUUCCUGCUGCAGUUGCUGCUGCACCCGCUUGUACUACUGCUCCUACAGUUAUUAUCCUCACUUCUCUCGCUGCUAUUGGUAGAAGUAGAAGAAAUGAUAAAACGGUUGAAUGAAAUAAUUUGCCACAUUUAGUUUCAGAUUUAUUGUUCCUGAGUUCAAACCCAUUCAAUCGCCCUCCCUAAAUUAAUACAAUAUUCUAGAAUCGUACCUUUCGCUAGCUCGCCAAGCAAAAUACUUCGUGGCAUUUUGUUCCGGUUUUAUGUCGUGGCUUCAAAUAUUCUCUGAGAUCGAUUUUGCUUUUCUUUUUUUUUUUUUUUUUUUUUCCAGGGUCGACAAAAUAAGUACCAGUUAAAUAUUAGGUCGAUGUAAUCGACUUCGCCCUUCCCCUCAAAACCUGUUGGCCCCGUGCCAAUACUUAAAACUAAUAAUGGCGGCGAGCUGUCAGAAUCAUUAGCUCAAAUCCGCCGAGAUCGACUUUGCCUGUCAUCCUUUCGGGGACGAUGAAAUAUAUACCAGUUAUGCAGUGGAGCCGAUUUAAUCGACUUACCUCAUCCCCCAAAAUUUCUGCCUACAACAGAAAGUAGUAGUAGUAGUAGUAGUAGUAGUAGUAGUAGUAGUAGUAGUUCCACCAUCAUCCCCACCGCUGCAAUUUCACUGUCAACAACCAUGGCAAGAAAUAUAAAAUAAUCGACAGGUAUACACAGAGUGCGAUGGGUAAAUUGUCGUUUUAUAUUUCUAAUUUUGCGCACGCAUUGAGUUUAUUUUGAUUUUGUCCACUACACAGUAUUGUAGGGUUAGUUGGGCACCUUCUGUAAGAAAAACCGCACCAUAACGCAAUUCACUCUGCCAGAAAUUUGGAAACGACAUACUGUUCUGCUUGGCAUUCGUGCCAGAAGCUCAAAUACGAACAUUUCAAAGGAUUUGGGUGUAUCAUUCUGAGGACAUGUACCAAGCGUGAUAAAUAUCAAACAUCCAGUCAACAUCAUGGUGUUUGGAGUGAUAACUAGUGAUGGCAACGUUAUACCUCCAUACAUCUUCCCACACAGCCUCAGACUCAACACAGAGGCCUACAUCAAAUGCCUUGAGGUUGUAGUGCUGCUCUGGGUCAAGAGGUUAGUUGCUGAAAGACCUUAUGUCUAGCAACAGGACUCUGCACCAUGCCACACAAGCAAGAGAAACCAGUCAUGGCUAUCAGACAAUUUCUGCGACCGCAUCACCCCUAACAUCUGGCCACCUAAGUCCCCAGACUGCAACCCCCUUGAUUAUUAUGUGUGGGGUGCAGUUGAGUGAGGGACCAACAAAACUCCUCGUAACACCAAAGAUGAACUGAAGGCAAGGAUUAUGGCAGCAUUCACCAACUUAAACAAGGAGACCAUCCAGAAGAGUUGCAGGAGAUUCCAAAGUCAUCUGGAGGCUGUUGCUGAAGCCAAUGGCGAUUUUAUUGAAUAAAUCUACUCUUUAGUGUUUCAAGGUAUUUUUAUGUAAUUUUGGUAAAUAUCUGUUGUGGAGGCGCAAUGGCCCAGUGGUUAGGGCAGCGGACUCGCGGUCGGAGGAUCGCGGUUUCGAUUCCGGGCGUUGUGUGUAUUUAUUGAGCGAAAACACCUAAAAGCUCCACGAGGCUCCGGUAGGAGAUGGGUGACCCCUGUUGUACUCUUUCGCUCCAAAUUUCUCUCACUCUUUCUUCCUGUUUCUUGAGUAACGCUGCGAUGCACUGGCGUCCCGUCCAGCUGGUGGGGAACACAUACGCCAUAGAAACCGAGAAACUGGACCCAUGAGCUUGAAAAGGGUGCAUAAAUAAAUAUAAAUAUAUGUUAAAAUGAGAUGUCGGCGUUAUUUUCAUUUUUGUGUAUUCAGACGACAAUUUAUUCACCGCAUCCUGUACAUGCAAGGACAGCAGCAACUCUAAUGACUACUUCUGCUACUAUUGCUGCUGCAACUGCUGCUGCUGUUACUGCACUUGCUGCUGCUAUGGGUGGUGCUUAUACUAUUAAUACUAUUAUAACUACUACUACUACUGCUGCUACUACUACUACUACUAUGACUACUUCUACCGCUUCUACUAGAAACUGCUCUUCCUAAAAAAUAAGUUUCUCCCAUUAUUAGUUCUUUCACUCGAAGAAUGCUGGGAUAGUAGAAUUGUUAGUGCGUCGAACAAAAUGUCUUGUGGUAUUUCUCCCGGUUCUUUAGUUUUAUGUUCUGAGUUCAAAAUCAUUCUAAAUUCUUGUUUGCCUUUCGUCGCUCCACGGUCGAUGAAGUACAGUGCCAACCAAGAACUGGUUUCCAUAUAAUCGACUUGCCCCACCCACCUCAAAUGUCAGACCUUUUAUCUACGCUACAAAGAGUCUUUCAUCGUUUACUUGUUUCAGCCACCAGUCUGCUGCCAUGCUGGGGCAGUGCCUUGGCAAAAUUUAGUCAAACGCAUUGACUCAAGUACUUUAUUUUUUAAGCCUGGCACUUAUUUUAUCAGGCUCUUUUGCCGAACCACUCAGUUACGGGAAUAUAAACACACCAACACCGGUUCUCAAGUGGUGGUGCGGGACACAAACACAGACACAGACACACACGCAGGUCUGCACAUAUAUAUAUAUAUAUAACUAUAUAUAUAUAUACAUAUAUAUAUACAUAUAUAUAUACAUAUAUAUAUAUAUAUAUAUAUAUAUAUAUAUAUAUAUAUAUAUAAUAUAUAUAUAAUUUAAAAUUAAAUAAGGGUAGAAAUUGAUAUUAAUCAAUUAAAACCAGUGGCCUAGCAUAUUUUUUUUUAAAUCCGAAAAUUAAAAAUUUCCACGAAGAAAAAACUCAGCAAAAAACCAAAGCGUAGAAAUAAGCAAGUCAAAUGAAAAUAUACGAAAAAAAAAAAAUUUUUUUUUUUUCGUAGAUUUUCAUUUCUUUACUACCCACAAGAGGCUAAACACAGAGGGGACAAACAAGGACAGACAAACGGAUUAAGUCGAUUAUGUCGACCCCAGUGUGUACCUGGUACUUAUUUAAUCGACCCCGAAAGGAUGAAAGGCAAAGUCGACCUCGGCGGAAUUUGAACUCAGAACGUAACGGCAGACGAAAUACCGCUAAGCAUUUAGCCCGACGUGCUAACGUUCUGCCUUAAAUUUUAACAUAUUACAUUAUAACUUGGAGGCUUGUGAGUGGAUCUGGUGGACCCUUCCCUCUACUCACUACCCAGCUACGCUACUUCCCUUCCUUCUGGAAUCAUUUCUAAGUCAAAACAAAGAGACAACUAAAUUUGAUACUCAGCCGAUUCUGGCAAGCUGUUCUUCGAGCAAAAGGAAGUGGCUGUGUGGUACGAAGUUUACUUCCCAACAACAUGGUCCUGGGUUCAAUCCCACGGAGUGGCAUCUUGGGCUGAUAGCUUCUAUUUUAGGCUCACGCCGAGCAAAGCCUCGUAAGUGGAUUUGGUAGACGGAAAUUUAGACAAUCCCGUCGUAUAUGAGGAAGGUGGUGGAGGUGGUGGUAUCAGUGGUAAGUGUUGAUCGUGGUAGGUUGGUGGUGUUUGUCCCUGGUGGGGAUGAUGGCGCUGGUUCUGUUGUUGACGUUGUACUGUUGCUGUUGAGCGAACGGUCUUCGUCCCAGAGCUCGCAAGAUGGGAGAAGUUCGAAACGUGGUCCUUUGCUAUUCGUAAGACCCGCAGAAGAGAAAGCAGGUCAACCCACGACACCGAGAGCAUCGACGGAUGGAUGAAUGCGCAUCAUGGCUCAGUUGUUGCGUAGGAAGUCGGGGACAAGAAACAGGAAGAAAGAGUGAGAGAAAGUUAGGGCGAAAGAGUACAACAGGGGUCGCCACCACCCCCUGCCGGAGCCUCGUGGAGCUUUAGGUGCUUUUGCUCAAUAAACACACACGACGCCCGGUCUGGGAAUCGAAACCGCGAUCCUCCGAACGCGGGUCCGCUGCCCUAACCACUGGGCCAUUGCGCCUCCAUGUUGUUGAUGCUUGUCACAAAUUGUAGAGAAAGGCGGAGGUGUUGAUGGUGAUUAUGUUGUUGAGAAAGAG
rnacentral:lncRNA from 1 species